AUCGCUUCUCGGCCUUAUGGCUAAGAUCAAGCAUAGUGUCUGUUCUUAUCAGUUUAAUAUCUGAUAUGUCCUUUAUUUAAGGACUAUAUAUUAAAUUGAUUUUUGGAACAGGGGGAUGGAAUAGGAGCUUGCUCUGUCCACCCCAUGCAUUGACCCGGUAUUGCAGGGCCUCCAGGAACGGAAGGAAUGCAUCCGAU
rnacentral:snRNA from 1 species